rnacentral:rRNA from 1 species
CCUACGGGAGGCAGCAGUGAGGAAUAUUGGUCAAUGGGCGGGAGCCUGAACCAGCCAAGCCGCGUGAGGGAAGAAGGUACAGCGUAUCGUAAACCUCUUUUGUCAGGGAACAAAGGCGGGGAAUAGGCCCCGGAUGAGGGUACCUGAAGAAAAAGCAUCGGCUAACUCCGUACCAGCGGCAGCGGUAAUACGGAGGAUCCGAGCGUUAUCCGGAUAUAUUGGGUUGAAAGGGAGCGUAGGUGGAUUGUUAAGUCAGUUGUGAAAGUUUGCGGCUCAACCGUAAAAUUGCAGUUGAAACUGGCAGUCUUGAGUACAGUAGAGGUGGGCGGAAUUCGUGGUGUAGCGGUGAAAUGCUUAGAUAUCACGAAGAACUCCGAUUGCGAAGGCAGCUCACUGGACUGCAACUGACACUGAGGCUCGAAAGUGUGGGUAUCAAACAGGAUUAGAUACCCCAGUAGUC